GACAGGGGGUGCAAACGUUGCUCGGAAUCACUGGGCGUAAAGCGCACGUAGGCGGUCGUGUAAGUCGGGUGUGAAAGCCCUUGGCUCAACCAAGGAACAGCACCCGAUACUGCAUGGCUUGAGGACGGGAGGGGAGAGUGGAACUCUUGGUGGAGCGGUGAAAUGCGUAGAUAUCAGGAGGAACACCGGUGGCGAAAGCGACUCUCUGGUCCGUUCCUGACGCUGAGGUGCGAAAGCUAGGGGAGCAAACGGG
rnacentral:rRNA from 1 species